rnacentral:misc_RNA from 1 species
GCAAACUUGGUCAUUUAGAGGAAGUAAAAGUCGUAACAAGGUUUCCGUAGGUGAACCUGCGGAAGGAUCAUUAAAGAGUUAGGGUCCCCUGGGCCCGACCUCCCAACCCUUUGUUUACUGAACCUCUGUUGCUUCGGCGGUGACCCGUCUCACGACCGCCGGAGGACCGCCCCCUCAGGCGUCCUCUGGCCAGUGUCCGCCGAUAGCCAACCCUUCAAAACUUCCGAAUAAAUCAUGCUCUAUGUCUAAGUCCUAUGAUGUAAAUCAAUAAAAGCAAAACUUUCAACAACGGAUCUCUUGGUUCUGGCAUCGAUGAAGAACGCAGC